GAUGAACGCUGGCGGCGUGCCUAAUACAUGCAAGUCGAGCGAACAGACGAGGAGCUUGCUCCUCUGACGUUAGCGGCGGACGGGUGAGUCACACGUGGAUAACCUACCUAUAAGACUGGGAUAACUUCGGGAAACCGGAGCUAAUACCGGAUAAUAUAUUGAACCGCAUGGUUCAAUAGUGAAAGACGGUUUUGCUGUCACUUAUAGAUGGAUCCGCGCCGGAUGAGCUAGUUGGUACGGUAACGGCUUACCAAGGCUACGAUGCGUAGCCGACCUGAGAGGGUGAUCGGCCACACUGGAAGUUAGACACGGUCCAGACUCCUACGGGAGGCAGCAGUAGGGAAUCUUCCGCAAUGGGCGAAAGCCUGACGGAGCAACGCCGAGUGAGUGAUGAAGGUCUUCGGAUCGUAAAACUCUGUUAUGAGGGAAGAACAGAUGUGUAAGUAACUAUGCACGUCUUGACGGUACCUAAUCAGAAAGCCACGGCUAACUACGUG
rnacentral:rRNA from 1 species